rnacentral:tmRNA from 1 species
GGGGCUGAUUCUGGAUUCGACGGGAUUUGCGAAACCCAAGGUGCAUGCCGAGGGGCGGUUGGCCUCGUAAAAAGCCGCAAAAAAAUAGUCGCAAACGACGAAACCUACGCUUUAGCAGCUUAAUAACCUGCUUAGAGCCCUCUCUCCCUAGCCUCCGCUCUUAGGACGGGGAUCAAGAGAGGUCAAACCCAAAAGAGAUCGCGUGGAUGCCCUGCCUGGGGUUGAAGCGUUAAAACGAAUCAGGCUAGUCUGGUAGUGGCGUGUCCGUCCGCAGGUGCCAGGCGAAUGUAAAGACUGACUAAGCAUGUAGUACCGAGGAUGUAGGAAUUU